CGUGCACCUUGUGGACAUUACAAGCGACUGCAAGCGUCAACGAAGUCAUCUCAUCGAUAGCAGCAAGUUGCGGGACCCUAAUGGCGUGAUGGUACCUUGCAGCAAACGACACAUGGUGAUCUCGCGAGUGGCGAACAAGCGGACGGUCGCGGGUGCGGCGCAAACCUGUGCUCGAAGACGGGACAUAGUUUGGACCUGCAAUGCAACGACGCUGGCCCGUGAACAAAAGAGGGAAAAAGGAAAUUCCUCGAAUCCUCGUGCACACAUCGUGACACCACGGCGUGCAACACCAUCCGUGGCCUCCUGCCCGACGUUUGCAAGAAACUGAAGAAAUCAGCUGAACCCUUGCGCCGUCAAUGGAUCUGAUGGAUGGUCCGUCGUGGAUGGUUUCCGGCGACUACGCUUCCUGUUGUGCAUUCUUUUGCAGCAUUCUGGACUUCAUUUCGACACGCUGCGCUUAAAACUUGAGUACUGUUGAUAUCACAUGAUCUGACUUCUGCUUU